ACAGCAGCCGGUCCUUGGAGUUCCAGCUGUGAAGUCAGGGAGCCUUCCGGCUCCCAGGUUGCUGCUGCUUUUAUGGAGGCUGGAGUGCCCUGGCUGUUUGUCACAUCACCUGGCUCCACUUUCUCAGCAAUGAAAUGGACCGGGGUACGACCCACAGUCUGUCUUCAGGCACCCAGAUGUGACUGUCUGCAAAGUUAUGGCCCAGUGGGGUGACAAUGAUGAAAGACAGCCAUCCUGGAGGAACUCACAGCCUAAGGAAAGCGCAAGGACCGGAAAAGCUCUUUAACUAAUAACAAUGUCGCCUGGGCCAGUUGUUUUAGCUACCAGCAAGGAUGUCUCCAAGGUGGUAAAACCGAGGUAUGGGUGGUGCUGGUGCCGCAAGGCAGCCUCUGCUUCAUCUAUACAAAAUGCCUGGAGCCGUGAGUACACUCAUGCAACACAACGCCUGUUUAAAAUGUUUCACUUGUGUAAGUAAAAGUCUGACUUUUUAAAUUAAA